UACGAAGGGGGCUAGCGUUGCUCGGAAUCACUGGGCGUAAAGCGCACGUAGGCGGAUUGUUAAGUCAGGGGUGAAAUCCUGGAGCUCAACUCCAGAACUGCCUUUGAUACUGGCGAUCUUGAGUCCGGGAGAGGUGAGUGGAACUGCGAGUGUAGAGGUGAAAUUCGUAGAUAUUCGGAAGAACACCAGUGGCGAAGGCGGCUCACUGGCCCGGUACUGACGCUGAAAUACGAAAGCGUGGGGAGCAAACAGG
rnacentral:rRNA from 1 species